GGUUGGCCGAAAUUGUGAAGAAAAAACCAAGCGAGUAUUUCCUUUGAGGUACAGAUCACUGUAGCAAUGGAAUCAACUGGAGUUCCUUCAACAUCGAGGGAGUCUAUGGAGCUACAUUUAUCCCCGGAGGAAAAUACGCAUGGUUUAUCAACUACCAUGAUUGAAAAGAGAUGGAGAAUAUUCUUUACACUUCUCCAACGUAGUGAGCCCUUACAUUGCUACAUAUUGGAGAUGCAUAAGGUUGAAAGAGG